UACGGAGGGUGCAAGCGUUGUCCGGAUUUAUUGGGUUUAAAGGGUGCGUAGGCGGCUCUUUAAGUCAGUGGUGAAAGCCGACAGCUUAACUGUCGAAAUGCCAUUGAUACUGGGGGAGCUUGAGUACAGUAGAGGUAGGCGGAAUUAAUGGUGUAGCGGUGAAAUGCAUAGAUACCAUUAAGAACACCGAUUGCGAAGGCAGCUUACUAUAGUGUAACUGACGCUGAGGCACGAAAGUGUGGGGAUCAAACAGG
rnacentral:rRNA from 1 species